UAAACACAAAUUUUUGUAUUUCAAUUUGAUAAAAUACAAAAACGCGUUACAAAAAUAAUUUGAUAGAAUUUGAAGAUAGAUUUAUGCGGGUUGCAAUAUCUAGUUAAUCCUCUGAUUCUUCUCUUCCAUUUGAUUCUUGAACAAGCUCGAAGGUUAUUGAAAUACUUGAUUUGAUGACGCCAAUCCAAGGGACUUAAGUCAUGAUUUUGGAUUGAACGUUGAACUUGAUUUGAUUUGAUUUGAAGAACGUCCUUAGAAUUUGUAAGAACGCCUUGAAGCUUUGGGACUUGGUUGAUUUGAUUUGAGGAAGAUCGUUCUUGGAAUUUGUAAGAACGCCUUGAAGCUUUCGAACUUGAUUUCUUUGGAUACUUGAAGAUCACUUCAAAGAUUUGCAGGAAUACUUGAAGAAUUUGAAGGAUACUUGAUGAAUACUCGAAGACUUGAUAGAAUUCUUUGAACUCCUCAAUCUUCCACUUCAACUUGUGAUACUAGAGAGAAUUCUUUAUGCUCUUCGAUCUUCCGCUCCUUCGAGUUGUUAUUUAUGAGCUCCCUACACCUCUAUUUAUAGAUUUUAGAGAUGGGCUUCGUGGGCUUUAUGGGCUUUGGGCCUCCAUGUAUGGGCCUUAGGGCCUUAAGUGGCCAAUAAGCCCAUUAAUUCAUUUUAUUAAAUAUUAAUCAUAUAUAUCUAUUUAAUUAGGAAUAAAAUCCCAUUUAAUAA